GAUGAAGAACGUAGCGAAAUGCGAUACUUGGUGUGAAUUGCAGAAUCCCGUGAACCAUCGAGUCUUUGAACGCAAGUUGCGCCCGAAGCCAUCAGGUUGAGGGCACGUCUGCCUGGGCGUCACAUAUCGUUGCCCAAUGCCUAUUGCAGUGCAAUAGGAAUUUCUAGGGCGAAUGAUGGCUUCCCGUGAGCGUUGUUGCCUCGCGGUUGGUUGAAAAUCGAGUCCUUGGUAGGGUGUGCCAUGGUAGAUGGUGGUCGAGUUAGAACGAUACCGAUCAUGUGCAUGCUCCCCAAAAUAUGGCCUCUAUGACCCACACGCGUCUGUUGACGCUCAUGACGAGACUUCAGGUCAGGCGGGGCUACCCGCUGAAUUUAAGCAUAUCAAUAAGCGGAGGA
rnacentral:misc_RNA from 1 species